GCUGAGCAGAGGAGAGAGACAUUUCUCAGGGGGAAAGCCUGCCAGCAUGGCGUUCCCCACCCUGCUGUGGGCAGUCAUCGCCACCUGCCUUGGAUCAAGCAUGGCCCAGAGCAUCUUUCAGACCCAAAAAGCAGUUUCCCGGAAGGAGGGGGAGACUGUGAUUCUGCUCUGCACCUACAGCACAAGUUACAGCAGUUACAUGUUGUACUGGUACAAACAGCCUCCCUCAGGGGCGAUGAUUUACCUUAUUUAUCAAUACUCUGAAACCCAAAACAAUGCAAAGAAUGGAAGAUUCUCUGUGAAUUUUCAGAAACUGAGAAAUUUCAUCAGUCUCACCAUCUCGGACUUAGAGCCGGGGGACUCGGCCGUUUAUUUCUGUGCUCUCAGAGAGGCACACGAUGAGAGGACUGGCAGGAGGGGCUGUACAAAAACCUCAGAGCCCUGAGCCCCUCCCGCAGCCGGGGAAGCCGGGGAGACAUCCCCAAACCCAGAUAGGAAAUUGGGGGUGGAGCCUAGAUCUGGGAGAAGGCCAGCAAGGGCGGGAGAGAAAAGAGUUGGCCUCAUUCUAAGCUCCCCAUCUCAG